GAUGAACGCUGGCGGCGUGCCUAAUACAUGCAAGUCGAGCGAACAGACGAGGAGCUUGCUCCUCUGACGUUAGCGGCGGACGGGUGAGUAACACGUGGAUAACCUACCUAUAAGACUGGGAUAACUUCGGGAAACCGGAGCUAAUACCGGAUAAUAUAUUGAACCGCAUGGUUCAAUAGUGAAAGACGGUUUUGCUGUCACUUAUAGAUGGAUCCGCGCCGCAUUAGCUAGUUGGUAAGGUAACGGCUUACCAAGGCGACGAUGCGUAGCCGACCUGAGAGGGUGAUAGGCCACACUGGAACUGAGACACGGUCCAGACUCCUACGGGAGGCAGCAGUAGGGAAUCUUCCGCAAUGGGCGAAAGCCUGACGGAGCAACGCCGCGUGAGUGAUGAAGGUCUUCGGAUCGUAAAACUCUGUUAUUAGGGAAGAACAAAUGUGUAAGUAACUAUGCACGUCUUGACGGUACCUACUCAGAAAGCCACGGCUAACUACGUG
rnacentral:rRNA from 1 species